rnacentral:rRNA from 1 species
UGGGGAAUAUUGGACAAUGGGCGAAAGCCUGAUCCAGCCAUGCCGCGUGUGUGAAGAAGGUCUUCGGAUUGUAAAGCACUUUAAGUUGGGAGGAAGGGCAGUAAGCGAAUACCUUGCUGUUUUGACGUUACCGACAGAAUAAGCACCGGCUAACUCUGUGCCAGCAGCCGCGGUAAUACAGAGGGUGCAAGCGUUAAUCGGAAUUACUGGGCGUAAAGCGCGCGUAGGUGGUUCGUUAAGUUGAAUGUGAAAGCCCCGGGCUCAACCUGGGAACUGCAUCCAAAGCUGGCGAGCUAGAGUAGGGCAGAGGGUGGUGGAAUUUCCUGUGGAGCGGUGAAAUGCGUAGAUAUAGGCAGGAACACCAGUGGCGAAGGCGACCACCUGGGCUCAUACUGACACUGAGGUGGGAAAGCGUGGGGAGCAAACAGG